rnacentral:lncRNA from 1 species
AACAUCACACAUUUGUGAGAACAAAAAUAUGUUUCAAUCAUUAGACAGAAGUAGACGUGAUGAGCUAAAAAUGGUAAAUUCUGGGACAUCGACAAUCGAAGGGAUCAGGACUGUAAAAUUUGAGAAGGAUGACAGAAGAAUGACGAUACUGAAUGAAACAUUGCACGUUCCAGACCUAAGAUCAAAUUUAAUGCCUGUUGGGAAAAUAACAGAUAAAAACCUUCCAAAGGAAAUCCGCAGUUAUUUUAAAUCAAAAUAAUGAAUUCGCCGUCACCGCCAAAUCAGGAAAUCUUUAUUAUAUUAACACAUUGACAGAUAGUGCAAAUUUCACUAACUCAGGCAGACUUAAAAAUGUGGCAUGAAUGUCUCGGCAAUUUAAAUGAACAAGAUUUGAAGAACCUAUCCAAGAAGCAGCUAGUUCUAGGCUUAAAAAUUAAUUCGAAUGAAAGAUUACCUACAUGCGAGAC